AAUCACAUUUGUUUCCUAAAUAUAAUGAACAAUAAUAAUUCGACAUUCAAUCCCACCCAAUGAAUUAGAAAUCUUGCAUAACUAAAUGAUUUUAAUUUUUUUUUCUAUAACAUCUAUAUGGCAGAUUCUAUAGAUUUUCGACUCAAAGAUUUUUUAAAGAUAUUUUAUACUUGCUCAUCAAGAUUUUCUAUACAUAUAUUUCGGUUUAAACAUAUUUCCUUAACUACUUGCCGCAUAAACCGGCUCUAUUUCUUUUUAAAAAUAAAUUGCAUUAAUAAUUAAUACUUAAAAUCAAAAUGGCAGUAUCGUUUUUUUUUUGGUAAGAGAUAUCUUCGGAUCAAAAAUAAUUAAUGUGAAUAUAUUAGUUACGAUUAAGUAGUUAUUUAAAUUUAUUUUGAAAUCCUAAUUAGUUGUUAGUUAAGGAAAUGUUAAUAUUAACUAAUUAGUUGUUUGAUAUUCACAUUUUUCUUUUUAUUUGCAAUAAAUUUGGAUUAGGUUUUUGAUAUUGUUAUGCAAGUUAAUUAAAAUAUCUUGAAGAUCUUCUCUAUAAAGUGCAAUGUGAGAAUGAGAAUAUUUCUGUAAGGUUUCAAUAUUAAUUUUCAAGAUUCAAAAUACAAUAACAUACCUUCAGUAUAUAAAUACAAGCGUUCACAUAGAAAAAACACCUCAUUUGUUUUUAGUUUUUUUCUUCUUUUCAAUUCUCUACAACUAGAAAAUUCUAGAUUUCUUCACAAUAUGUAUCACUAAUAUAUAUUUUGUAUUGUUUUUUGCAGUUCAAUUGUAAGCGGCCAUUCAUGGCAAAUAAGAGUGGGAUCAGUGCAUCGAAAAGUAUGUUUUCUUUUUCGUUUUUGUUUAUGGUCAAACUGGGUUUUAGAUUCAUCAUAUGUAAAUAAUCUCAUAAUUAAACUUUACUAAAAUUUUGCUAAUCUCUACCUAUUUUUAGUUGUGCUACAGAUUUCUUAACGAGCUAAACUAAAAAAGAUUAUCAUCUUCGUCAUGAACAUCGUGGUGACGAUUAACAUUUCAAUAAGUACUUGAUUUUCUUAAUCUAAUUUUUAACACUUUUUUUGGGCAUUCAAAACUACUCUUAUUAUUUUUUUUCAUUUUUAGUUUAUUUUUAAAUAAAUAACGUUAUUUUAAAAAUAUUUGUUCUACCGAGAUCUUUGGAAAACUCCAUCGGGAGAUCUCUGUAUGCGGAGUCCGAAAGCAAUUUAGAAGUAAUUAGAUUUCUAAAAAUAUAGGUAAAAAAAUAUUUCAUAAAAUCAAAGAUUUGUUCUUAUGGUUUUAAUGUUUUAUCAUCAGAUAUGUUUUUUUUAAUGUCCAAUUUUUUUUUUUCGGGAGGUGCGAAGAAUAAUGAACAAUGCUAUUUUAAAUAUAUAACACAAACGAUCCCCAGUACGUGCGGUCUUGCUAUCGUCGAGAAAUGAUUAUCGCUACCGAUGUAUUGUUCUCGACGAUUUCAAGUCCUCGAGAAAAAUUCAUCGGGUGCGAUAGAUUUUUCUCGACGAUGCCAAGUCCGUUCGUACUUAUUAACAGACCCGACCACUCAGUACCGACGGAAAGCGAAUCGUCGCGAAAAGAUGGUCGGUAGCGAUUGAUCUGUCUGGACGAUCUCAGGUUCGUCGNNNNNNNNNNNNNNNNNNNNNNNNNNNNNNNNNNNNNNNNNNNNNNNNNNNNNNNNNNNNNNNNNNNNNNNNNNNNNNNNNNNNNNNNNNNNNNNNNNNNCCCUGCAGGAAAAGAAAAAUAUGUAGGAUCUUCCCGUUUUGAUUAGUUCUCAUCUUCCAAGUUUUUAAAAACAUUAACAUUAGAGCAACUGAUGUCAAGAAUGGAUCGAAAAAGACAGAAAAAUUAAUAAAAGAUCAUUGUAUGGUUUUAUUAUACUAUAUGUAUUUUUACUUCUAACAAUUUAACCUCAACAAAUGAUAAGUCUUAGGUUGACUAAAAAGGAUGUGUCAUGUUACAUAUAUAGAGAAAUGAAGUUACAUACAAGUAUACAACUAUACAAGUUUAUUCGAAUAUUGACUAAAUCAAAUUUAAUUCUAUGAUUCAUAUUUAUCAACGAUGUUAACUUUGCGAUAGUAAAACUAAAUUUGUGAAAUAUUGAUUUAGUAUUUUAUUAUAUGCACAAUAUUAAAGUAAAUAUAACAAUACUAUAUGUAAAAAAAAUAUUAACCUACGGGUCUAAACUUAUACUGAAAAUGAUCAAAUCAAAUAAAAUUAUAAAUAUCUUUAUAUUGUUUUACAAAACUAAACAAAUCUAAAAAAUUUAUGUUUUAUCCAAUAUAAUAUAUUUUUUAGUAAAUUAUAUUAAACAUGAAAAAAACAUAAACCUGCAGUACACCGCGGGUCAAAUUCCAAAUACACAUUUUAUUUUUUAUUACGUAACAACAUUCAUAUACAAUAUCUAUAUAUUUAUUUAAAUAAAAAAUAUCAUAUAUGUUAAAGAAAAGCCUUAAAAUAAAAAUACAAAAAUCUAUUUAACAAAAAUAUAGGCCCGCGGUGUACCGCGGGUUAACAUAGUGUCCUAUAUAUAAAUACACUAUCGACACGGGUUCUUAUUUUUUCCCUUCGACUCCACGACGAAACUUAACGCCAACGACUUCAUUAAGUCCUUAGCUUAUUUUUGUCGGAAAGUUUAGAUAGAAUGGGAUCUCUCUCAGCGUUUGAAGAGCGGUUGCAGUAUCCAACGGCGAAGCGUGAUGAGUCCGUCGUUGAAGAUUAUCACGGCGUUAACGUCUCCGAUCCUUACCGCUGGUAAAAAGUGUUUGCGUUUUCAGCUGUGACUAGCUACUCUUGUUUUUUUUAUUAUGAUAACGUUGUUGUUGAAUUGAGUUGACGGAGAUUUUUUAUUACCGGACAGCUUUGGAAUUUUCUGCUGUCUGUUUAUCGUAAUGAAUGAUAUUUUUAGAUCAUGACCAAUCGCGUAACGAGCUUUUUUGGACCAGCUCUAUCGAUUUUUUUGGCCCAUUAUUGAUCUUACUGGUCCAGUAUACUAAUUUCGGGACCAAUUUUUGUUUGUUUGCUCAUUAAAUUCCCGGUUUGGUACAAUCGUAAAUUUGGUUUGGUUAGGAUUCGGUUAACAAAAUUGAUCGAUUCUCUCUUGGUAGGUUGGAAGAUCCUGACGCUGAAGAAGUGAAAGAAUUUGUAGAGAAGCAAGUGAAAUUGUCAGAAUCAGUGCUCAAAACUUGCGAAACGAAAGAAAAGCUUCAUGACAAAUUCACAGAGUUUAUUGAUUAUCCUCGUUACGAUACGCCCUUUAAGCGAGGGAACAGCUACUUUUACUUCCAUAACUCAGGUCUUCAAGCUCAGAGUGUGCUUCAUGUUCAGGUAAUCUGUUUUGAACUCGUCUUCCAUCUCCAAUUUCGUUAAGUGGGUUUCUGAAUUGAAAUUGGUUUUUUUUUUUUAUAAGGAUGAUUUGGAGUCUGAAGCAGAGGUCUUGCUUGAUCCUAAUACUCUUAGUGAUGAUGGAACCGUUUCUUUAAACACUUUAUCUAUUAGUGAGGAUGCUAAGUAUUUGGCUUAUGGGCUUAGCUCCAGUGGUAGUGAUUGGGUUACAAUUAAAGUGAUGAAGAUUGAAGAUAAGAAAGUGGAGUCUGAUUCUUUAUCUUGGGUAAGGCUUCUUCAAGUUAAAUUACUCAUGAGUUAGAAGUUUUAUCAUUGACACUGACAUGAAUCUUGUUCUGAAAUCAGGUUAAGUUUAGUGGAAUUACAUGGACACAUGACGGGAAAGGUUUUUUCUACAGUCGCUAUCCAGCUCCACAGUGAGUCUUUGGUUUAACUAAUAAACUUUUUGGUGUAAAGCUAAGGAAUUUUAUUCGAAAGUUUGAGUUUUUACUACUGUUUCUGAUUGUGGUUUUGUUUCUGUAGAGAGGGAGAGAAGAUAGAUGCUGGUACAGAGACUAACUCUAACCUUUACCAUGAGUUAUACUACCAUUUUCUUGGGAUGGAUCAAUCCGAAGAUGUUUUGUGUUGGAGAGACCAAGAUAAUCCCAAACAUAUGUUUGGAUCUAAAGUCACUGAUGAUGGGAAGGUAAAAGCUAGCUCUUUUCUCAUCUCUCUUGGUGAUGGUUUCACCUAAAUCUAGUCUUAUGAUGCAGAAAGUCUAAGUUUCGGGUUUGAGUUUUUUUUUUUAUUCCAAUGCAGUACUUAAUCAUGUCAAUUGAAGAAGGUUGUGACCCUGUAAACAAGGUUUAUCAUUGUGAUCUCUCAUCCCUUCCUAAAGGUCUAGAAGGUUUUAGAGGAAGCAACGCUCUACUUCCAUUUGUUAAGCUUAUCGACACAUUUGACGCACAAUACAUUGCUAUCGCAAACGAUGCGACAUUGUUUACUUUCUUAACCAACAAAGAUGCCCCAAAGUACAAAUUAGUUCGGGUUGAUCUGAAGGAACCGAGCAGUUGGACUGAUGUUAUCGCUGAACAUGAAAAGGAUGUUCUCUCAACAGCUUCUGCAGUUAAUGGAGAUCAACUGGUUGUUAGCUACAUGAGUGAUGUAAAACACAUCCUGCAGAUUAGAGACUUGAAAUCUGGUUCCUUGCUUCAUAGAUUACCUGUAGAUAUUGGCUCGGUAUGUGGUGUUUUUGCUCGGCGUAAAGACACCAUCUUUUUCUUUAGGUUUACAAGUUUCCUUACACCUGGCGUGAUUUACAAAUGUGACUUAUCCCAUGAAGCUCCAGAAGUUACGGUAUUUCGUGAAAUCGGUGUACCUGGAUUCGAUAGAACAGCAUUUCAAGUCACUCAGGUAUGUAUAUGCUUUCUCCAUUACAAAGUAUUGAAUCUGGAAUACAAACAUUAAUUUUGAGUUCAUAUUUUCAUGACUAUGUUUUAUAGGUCUUUUAUCCGAGUAAGGACGGAACAGAGAUACCAAUGUUUAUAGUGGCUAGAAAAGAUAUAAAGCUAGAUGGAUCACACCCAUGUUUGCUCUAUGCAUAUGGAGGGUUUAGCGUAAGCAUGACGCCGUUUUUCAGCGCGACCCGUAUUGUGCUUAGUAGGCAUCUAGGUACCGUGUUCUGUUUUGCAAACAUCCGUGGUGGUGGUGAGUAUGGUGAGGAAUGGCAUAAAUCUGGCGCUCUUGCCAAUAAGCAGAAUUGCUUCGAUGAUUUCAUAUCUGGGGCUGAGUAUCUGGUUUCUGCUGGUUAUACACAACCGAGAAAACUUUGUAUCGAAGGUGGUAGUAACGGUGGUAUUCUAGUAGGGGCUUGCAUUAAUCAGGUAAAAAGAGUAAGAAAUAUUUAUCUCAUGAAAAUAGCAAUCACAUAGUUACAUAAUUUGUUUUUCUACCCUUUACUGCAGAGACCGGAUCUCUUUGGGUGUGCUCUCGCUCAUGUUGGGGUCAUGGACAUGCUCCGGUUUCACAAGUUUACCAUAGGACAUGCUUGGACUUCUGAAUUUGGUUGUUCUGACAAGGAAGAGGAGUUCCAUUGGCUGAUAAAGUAAGUCUUUUAUUUAAGGUCACCAUAAAGCUUCUAUCUUUUGGUAGAUAUCUGAUGGUUUUAAUGUGUAAUAAAUAAGGUAUUCGCCUCUGCAUAAUGUGAAGAGGCCAUGGGAACAGAAGACAGAUCGGUUUGUUCAGUACCCAUCAACCAUGUUGUUAACUGCUGAUCACGACGAUAGAGUCGUCCCACUUCAUACUUACAAGUUGCUUGCGGUUUGUCUCUCAACCUCUUUGUUUGCUUUUUGUAUCGUCCUCUUCUUCUUCAUCUUCCAUUGAACCCGAUUUUUCUUUCGCAGACAAUGCAAUAUGAAUUAGGUUUGAGUUUAGAGAAUAGUCCACAGACGAACCCUAUAAUUGCUCGGAUAGAAGUAAAAGCCGGGCAUGGAGCAGGACGUCCAACACAAAAGAUGGUAACUAUCUAAACAUGAGACUUUUUUUGUUUAAUGUUUUUGUACAAUAUAAAUAUGUUUGUGAGUUGCAAUAGAUUGACGAAGCGGCUGAUCGAUAUUCGUUCAUGGCGAAGAUGGUGGAUGCUUCAUGGAUCGACUAGAACUUACACGAAGAGAUUAACUUAUCUUUCUUGUUAUGUUUUAGAGAGAGCUACUAUAUUAUAAUUAUACUUCUGUUCUGCCUAUACAGUCGUCUUUAUGAAGAAAAUGUUUUUGAGUAGAAGUAUCUUUGAAUUCAAUGGGAGCCUCAUAGCUUGGGCCCAUGCUUCUUAUCAUUGGAGACAUGUUUCUUUUAGUAUCAUGCACAUCCAUCAAACCCAUUUCCCGUCAAAAGUUACUUGAAAUUUUUUUUGAUUUUAUGUGACAAUUGUAAAGAGACUUGGGCCCCUGCUUAUUAUCAUUGGAUAUUAUAUUUUCUAACAUAUUUUCAAAUUAAUGACUAAUAGAUUGAGUUGUGCAUUUUCUUAGACCCCAAAUAGUCUUUUUUGUUGAUAUAUAGAUGGAUUGGAUAGAAUUUCACCUUCAGUUUGAAUCCAUUGUUAUUAAAUUUAUAACUUUUUAGAUUAAAAAUAUUUAUUAUCUUUGGAUAUUACAGUUUCUAACAUAUUUCAAAUUAAUAACUAAUUAUAUUAUUUGUAAUGUAUAACACUAUAAAUAUGUAUAUAACUAGAAAUUGACCCGCGGUACACCGCGGGGCUAUAUUUUAUUUUUAAAAGUCAAAAUUUAAAUCUUUUGAAGGUUAUCUACAGAUAUAACCAAUAGUUUUUUUAAAAAAAUGUAUAUAUAUCUAUAUAUUAUUUAGUGUUAGUGUACGAUUAGUAUGUUUUAGGUUUCAAUUUUUAAAAUAUAGAAAUGAAAACAUACAGUUCAUUAAGUAACGAUGUAUGACGGAUUUAAAUUAAAUUUCUUUUGUUGUUUGCAUUUUAUUAUAAUAUUUUUAAAUAAUAUAAGUAAUUUUAUAUAUGUCAAAAAUGAUAUUUUUGGUUUGUAAUUUUUUUGAGUAAAUAAAUAUUAUAACAAUGCAGUAUGAAUGUAAUUGUAGCAAGGAUAGUUAUGGCUAAUAAAUAUAUUUUGUAAAGAUUUUUCGGCAAUGAUUGUUUAGGUUAAUAUCUUUGAUGUAAUUUUGAAAAUCUAAAUAAUAAAUGCCAAUGGGAUGCCAUCGUAAAUAGUAGUAAACUCAAGGGCUAUGUUUCUUUUUAAAAAAUCGAUUUUUUUUUAAGAUUAUCUAUUGAUAUAACCUAUUGUUUAUUAAAAAAAAAUCAACCCGCAUGAAACAAUAUUCUUGAAGAAUUUUUGAAUUAAGAAAUAAUUAUUUGUUACUGAUAAAUCGAUAUUAAUUACAAUAGGUUUCCAAAUAUUGAGGGAUUUUUAUUAAAAGAAGGGUAAUUUAGUCAUUUUGUACAUAAAAGGGGUAUUUUUAAAAAUGGACAUCCAAAGGGGACAUUUUUGAAAAGGGGUAUUGAAAAAGGGGCAUUUUUGUGAGUCUCCCAUUUUUUUUUUUUUGAUUUUGUCAUUAACCUCUUUUCAUUAAUAUUUUUGUUUUACAUAAUAAGAAAUUAAAACGGAUCAAAACUAACUGUAAUUCAUAAAAUUAUUAUAUAAUAAAUGUGAUCAAAUUACAUAUAUAUUUUGUUUUUAAAACAUUUUUAUUGUUGAUCCUUGCUUAAGUAGUACACCACAUUACUCUUUCUCCAAUAAUACUUUCAUGCUUAAAAAAUAAGAUCAAAUCAAAAGAGGAUUGCUAUAAACUUCUAUUUUUCUGCAAAAACAAAUUAAAUUAAGAACUUAUAUAUAUAUAUAUAUAUAUAUAUAUAUAUAUAAUUAGUUAAACUUCUAUUUUCCAACCACUCUUUCUUUGAAUUGUGAUUUUGUUUUGUUUUUAGUUUGGAUUUUAAUCCAACCACUCUUUCUUUGAAUUGUUAGAGCCAUAUUGACGAAUUUAAAAGAUUGUAUAGUAGAAUUUAAAGGAACAAUAGAUGAGAUAAGAUAUGUGAUAUUAAUUAGUUUAGAUUGUGAAUAUAUUCGAAAUCAAUUAGAGAAUAAAGUUAUUAAGUUACGAUUAAUGUGGCAAUUAGUUUAGGUAAUAAUAACAAACUGAAUUCUGCGAAUUAAUAUUGGCCAAAUAUGAGAUUGUUUUUAUUACAAAUUUCCUUAAAUCUCUUAUCCAUGAUCCGAACAAAUUAAAACCGGGUCAAAACCCGGAUCCAAAUGAAUUAAAACAAAAAAGUAUUGCUAAAAUGUAUAUGUAGAUACUUUGAAUUUAAAUUUUUUUAUCAAAUACAAUUGAAAUUAUUAUAAUUUAUUUCCAAAUACAUUAAAAUGUAAUAAAUUUUAUAUCUACAUAAUUAUAAUGAUAAGAUUUUCCCUGAAUUGAUUGUUAAAUCACAGAAAUAAACGAAAAUAAUCGCAUCAACUUUCAUUUUCACUAUGAUCCUGAAUGACUUACCUUUGUAUCUUCUCGACGAUAUCCUCUUCAGAUUGGAACCCAAAUCUCUGGCAAUUAUGCGAUGCACAAAUAAAUAUUUCCAAUCUUAUAUAUCUCACGACUCGGACUUUUCCGUGGUCAGACCUAGUUUGUUUAACCUUUGCAGCUACGGUGACACUUCCGUCUUUUGCCACCGUUUGGUUUCUUCAUGCGAUUCUAUGUCAGUCUUGAAAUUAGAAAAAUUGAAUUUUAGUAACCGAUGUUAUAUUUUUGGCUCAUGCUCCGGCCUUCUCCUAAUAUACAUCAAUGGUCUCUUCGUUGCAAAUCCCAUCACAAAGACGUUUCGACUUUUGGAUCAUUCUGGUUCAAGCCUUCUGCCUUGGAUAGUUGGUGGUGCAAUGUUCGUUGGUUUCGCUGUAAACCGUACGACCAAAAGUUUUAAAAUCGUAUGCAUUCUUGAGAUGGAAACAGUGUAUGGAUUCGAGAUCAACGACGGAUAUUGUUGGAGAUUAUCAGAAACAACCAUCAACGCUAGUUCAAAAAGUGAUCUCACGACGCGGAUGAAACCUGUUUACUUAGACGGCACUCUUCACUGGUUGAGGAACGACGAGAGCAUCAUAGCUUUCAAUCCCGAGACAGAGCAAGCACACUUGAUUCCUUCCAUAUUCUAUCGGGAAUCGGAUAUGAAGUUAUUAUUCGCGGCGGACAUAAUAUCAAUCGUUUGACCUUAUUAUUGGGGACGAAAGAAACAAUCUCAGUUUACGCACUACGCAAGAAUUCCAAGUGGAUCCUUGCUAGGCAGAUCAAGAACGUAUCUAUGGAAGAUAAUAUUCUUGAACGCUGGAACAUGGUUGCAUACGAUGGCAAGCAUCUUGUGGUGAGGGAGAUGAAGGAUAGAUUAAGAGUUGUGGUUCCUUUUUACGACAUGGUGGUUAACAUUAAGGAACAUCAUUUCAAAGGUUUGGUUCAUGUGUAUGACAUGGAAGCUAACAGUUGGAGAGUUUUGGGGUCAACAUGGUGUCCAAGCCAUUAUGACAGAGACUUCUAUAAGUUUAUGCCAUCCUUGUUCCCCGUUGAGGAGGAUGAGCAGACAAAGGUUAUUGUAGCUUCGGAUGACCAACGCAUCCGCUAUCUAAGUGCGGUUAUGAGACUCAUUGAUACAACCAAGUAAACUAUCUCAUGCUUUACUUUUUUUGGGUCAUGUCCUGAUCUAUAGGAAUGUUUGUUUCCAAUUUGCUUUUCUAAUUUCAACAUCAUGCUUUACGUAAUUCAAUUCUAAAAUAAGUUCUAAGAAGCUCUUAGUCAAUGAUUAUACAUUACAAUAGCGGAAGGACAUAGAAAAAAUAGUCCAACCUAACUCAAGAAACUUCGACUUCAAGAAUCAAGAAACUCAGGGUUUAUCAUACAACGUCUCAAAACAUUGAUAUCUGUUUACUAGAUCAGUAUAAAAAACAUAUAUGGAACUUGAAUGUAAUGGAGAUAUAACUCAUGUAGAAACUGGUGUUAAAAGGCAAAUCAACCAAAAACUGAGAAUGAAAAUGGAAAUAUAGAUAAUAUUCAAAGCGGAAAGAAUGACAAGUUCCAUAACUGAAGAUUGCUCGAGUAUCCAAAUUCAGUGAUCAAACCUCAAAACUAAUCAUAUGUUUGUGUCGUAUCACUGCUCUGGCCAAGUAGUCAGUUCAAUGAUCACGAAGACAGCUUGCUCUGCUCUCACUAUCUGAUUCCUUGAAUCAGUCAAGGAAACAUUCACAAAUGCUUCAAAGUCCGAUCAUAUCCUAAAAAAAUAUAUUAAUUGAUAUCGGCAGUUGUCCGGUCGUACCCAGACUUUGACAUUAAAAUAAAGUGUCAUCAUCUACUACAACAAUGGUGGAUAUCAGUUUCUUCUCUCAGGCGUUUCAUCAAACAUAAUUGGUGCAUUUUCUAAAGAUCCAUGUUCCAAUGCAUUUCACUAAUCUCAUAUAAUAAUAGAAUCAAUCAUUCCUCUAGUAAACGACUAGUUGCUUCUAUAAAAUAAAUCACACAACCAACAAAAUCGUUUUCGUUUUACAUAUAUUUGUAAAAGUAAACUACAUCACAUAGACCCAAAUAAAUCGAGCAUCACUAAUAAAACACACAUAAGUCGAGCAUGACUAAAACCGAUUUAAAAACUCUCUUAACAUAUAAAAUAAAUCACACAACCAAUAAAAAUGGCCCUAGCUGCCACCUCAUCUUUUUUUUUUUUUUUUCAUCAAACACCAUUUCUAUUAAGAUAUCGGGAAGAGACUCUCCGCUAGGGAGAGCCAAUCAGGAACCGACGUACUUACAUGGGAAAAAAGGCUAUUUCGAGCCCGAGCCUUUUUGGCUAAACAAUCUGCUCGAGUAUUUGAACUACGAGGAAGAAAACUAAUGUUAAAAGAAGGAAAAAGACAAACUAGAGACCGAAAAGAGGCCAAUUCAGCUGCAAAAGAGGGCCAAACGUCUUGAUUGUCAAGGAUAGAGAUCAAGUCAGAGCAAUCGGAAGCGAAUGCGCCAGAGGUAUCGCCUAUCGAAAUCAUACACUCCAUUGCCCAAAUCAAGGUGUCAAAUUCCGCGUGGAGCGGUGAGAGGCUUCUUCUCGAACUUUUGAGGCCAAGGUGAAGAAUACAGUCUUGGUCAACUAAGACCCAACCAUGUCCACUCAGGGUAUCCUCCAAAUGCCAAGAAGCAUCAAUCUGGCACACCGAAGAACGGGAGGGAGUAGAGCGGGAUUGUAGCGAACGGGCAAGAUGCUAUGGAUCAGCUACAUCUUUUAAGGUUGCAUUCUUCCAAACAGAAGCUUCUCGCAAGGCCAAGGCCAGAGUCUCCAAAGGUGGUUCUCUGAAGUUUUCGAAUAAGAACCGAUUACGACUUUUCCAGAUAUAUUGCCACCUCAUCAUCUCCAUCGUGUUUUGCUUAACGUCUUCAUUUCAAUUUUACUCCGAUUAGUAAAAGUACUUUUUAUAAAUGGUUCCACAUACACAUGACUCCUCCUUAUUCAAUCAGCACUAGAGCCACUAGAAUCGGACUACCAAAGCUAAGCUAAGACCAAAGAGUAGUUGGAUUUGAGUUUUAAACUUGUGUGCUCCUAUAAACCAAUUCUUGUUAUAUGAUAAAAGAAUAAAAAUGGCCUUUCUUUUCUGGGUCCAGUUUAGCAAGCCCACUCAAACUCUUAAUUAUUUUUGAGUAAAAAGAAUAAAUAGAAUCUGUCGUUUACUGAAAAAAUAAGUAUUACCCCAAAUAAAGGUCCAACUAUAAGUAACUUAAAAAAACCGAGAGUAAAUAUCGAAGCUUGGGAAAAAAAAAUCUCAUGUAAAAUAUUGAAGCAUAACCCAAAUAAGGCCCAACUAAAAUCGAUUUGAAAACACCCUCCACAUAUAAAAUCAAUCACAUAACCACAAAAUCCCUAGCUAUCACCUCAUCAUCUCCAUUUCAGUUUGACUCCGAUUAGUAAAAGUACUUUUUUAUAAAUGGUUCCACAUACACAUGACUCCUCCUUACUAUUUUGGAAUAUAGUAACUCAUUUUCCCAUCUUUAAUCAACCGCUAAGAGUCUCGAAAUGAACAAUCUCUUUAAACCGCAGGUCCGUACCGGACUAGUGAGCCAGAUGAGUGAUUUGGACAAAUGUGUCCCGUGUGUCCUUUGAGUUAUGACUAAAAUGUUGGAAUCUCAAGUCAUGCGUUAGCAUUGUGACAUUUUGAUCUUAUAAUGUUACCGAAUAAUAAUGGCUAUAUAUGCCUAAAUAAAUUAAAAUAAAACACGCGACCAACAAACUGCCACCUCAUCAUCUUCAUCUCCAACGUGUUUUGUUUAACGUCUUGGUUUCAAUUUAGUCAGAUUAGUAAAAGUAUUUUCGAAGUGGUUCCACAUACAAAUGAAUCAUCCUUACUCAAUCAGCACUAGGUAGAGCCAAUAGAAUCGGACUACCCCAAAGCUAAGCUAAGACCAAAGAGUAGUUGGAUUUGAGUUUUAAACCUGUGUGCUACUAGUAAACCACUUGUUGUAUUUUCUUAGUAUAGUAAAAAUAAUUCUGAAUGGUUCCCACAUAGACAAGAGUUCUCCUUACUCAAUCCGAAAAAAGCUAUAGAACAAAAGUGGAACAAUUGGAGAAGUGUUGAAACACUGUGUCUUCCAUAUUACUUAGUAUAGCAAGUUUAUGCUACUAGAAGCCACUUUUUCGUGGUUUUACAUAACAUACAUGAAUCUGUAAAAGUAAAUAGCGACACAUAGACACGGCUUCUGGUGGUUAGUGAAUGGAAGAGAGAAUAUGUAUGAUGGUGACAGAAAACAGCAAAAGCUAUAUCCAAAAAUGGAUAAAGAAACUCUUAAGCGCGUUGUGAUACUUACGUUGGAAGAAGUUGACAACAAAGGAAAAAGCAGAGCACAGUUGAAUCAUCUCUUGGCUAUAAAUAGAGAGAGAGGGUCACAACUCAAAAUCACAACAAGCACAACAGAGAGCAAGAGAUUCAAAUAGCAAAAAACUUAUAAUAUUCUUUCAAAAACAAAAAUGGGGGAUCGUAGCAUUCAACUGGGCAGAGGGAAACAACAACCAACUCACGUUGCUGAUGAACCGAGACAAUUGGGAACACAUGCAAGCUUAAAAUAUUCAUUAAAAGUUUUUGGUGUCAAUUUUGUGCAUCAGACAUUGAUGUUGAAUACUUUUUUUGAUGCUUUUUUUCUUUAUAUCUAUGAGUGAUUAAUAGGAUCAUAAGUGGGGCAUCUUGGAAUGGAAAUGGCCAGAUUUUGAGUGGUCGUUCCGCAGAUAACAACGGAACGUGGUUUGGUAUUUCUAGAGGAGGUCGAGUCGCUUUUCUCGUGAGUGUCGAUACAUUGUUAGACCACGUCGAUCCACAAGCCGGCUCUGAGUUGUACCCAAUUGAAUUCUUGGAGGUUAGUUUUUUUGCAUAUUUUUUUGUUUUCAUUUUAAUUGAAACAUCUUUGAAUAUCUUUAUUUGAUCAAGGGAUUGCUUUGUUUGACUGCAGGGCAAUAUGACUCCCCAGGACUUUGCCAAUGACGUGGCACAGGGUGAAGAAGUGGACGAAUUAUUGUCGUUUAGCCUUAUAGUUGCAGACAUGACUUUGAAUUCAAUGGUUCAUAUAAGGAAACCCGUGCAAGCUGAGUGGAAUGUCAUGAUACAACCCGUUCCGUUUGGUGUGCAUACACUUUCUCCUUACGAGGGUCUCGAUGCCAUAGAACCUUGGGUAAUUAUUAAGUACAAGUGUCUUGUGAGUCGAAUUGUUAGGAUAGUUCAUUUUUGCAAAUCUUUUUUUAGUCUCUUCUUCUUAUUUCUAAAAUCAAACACGCUGUCUUUUUGUUUUUGGUGGUAUUAUGCAGGAUUUACUCGUGUUUGACGUUUUUAAUCAGAUGACUGCUGAAUUGGGAAACAACCCACUACCACCCCUUAAGGAGAUUGCUGGGAUUAUGUACGAUGAUGCGGAAGAAGAAGACGCGGUGUUUCUCCAAUUGGCUGCGCAUCCACAAGUAAGAAAUUUAAUCGGACAUUUUUUAUGACCCACCCUCGUACCAUUUUCUUCAAUUAGUUAAUCACUUUUUUUCAAUUCGAUUCAGUUUGGAAUGCAACUCUUUGGAACAACAAGUACGACAGCAUUGGCGGUGGAACGCACUGGGAGAGUAAGGCUCUUUGAGAGGUACAGACUCGAUGGUGGAUGGCACACACACGACUUCGAUUUCCAAAUCCAACACUAGAAUGAGUUACAAAGAAACUUUGGGAAAGCAUCCGAAUAUCAUUACAUAUCUCUCAUUAUUAAAUAAAUAAUCUCGUUGAUGCUGUAAAUAGAUCUCUCUCUCUCUAAUUUAAUUUAUUUUACCUUGUUAAGAUUCAGGGAUACCUAUUUCCUUGGUCAAACUGCAUAUAUCUCUAUUCGUCUAUGAACAUUAUGCUUGAUAUACAUAAAUAAAAUAGUUGAUUUUCUUAGACUUUAUCCUAUGCCAACUUAAAAGUUCUCUUUAUAUUUUGGUUCCAUCGAUAUGCAAUUCUUAAGCAAUUUAUCUAUCUAUAGUUUCUCUUUAAAUUAACUUUACAUUUAACUCGAUUCGGGUGAUUGACUCCAAGCCAUAGUUUGCAGAAUGGAUGCAGACACUUGGGGUAGGUUAUAGUAUUUUUGGAAACCAUCAUCCAGCAAUUUCAAGCAACUAUUCAUAUGAAACUGUUUGUUUUGAAACUCUGAAGUUUUAUCGGCUGAUAAAAAGAUUACUAUUUUCCAAAAUGAUUACUUUCAUAAAUUAUCAUAAUUAGUAUCUCACAAAUCACCAAAGUUAUAAACCAAUUGGAAUAUUAGUAUGGAGCCACUAAGAACCCCUAUGGUACCCUUUUUAGAUUUUGCCAUUUUAAUAUGAAAGUGAUCAAGUUUUGCGUAUGAAUGCAAAUCUUCAACGUGUGUCACAAGAAUUCUCUUUUUUCUCUCUUAUUUGUUAAGUCUUAAAUGAUUCCACAUGUACAUAGUGUCUAUUUGAUAAAACAGGUCACCUAUAACAACUAGGCUUGGAUUACCAAAGCUAAUUAAGACGAAAUACCAGUUGGAUUUGAGUCUUAAUUAAACUUGUGUGCCAAUAGAAACCACUUUUGUAUAUUUUUAGAAUAGUAUAAAUAUUUCUAAACUGUUUUGACAUGACUCCUCCUUAAUCAGUAAAACACGGCCAAUCCAGAAAUGCAAACCACAUGGCAAAUUCAUUGUUAUUUGUUUAGUUAACUUUUGAAAUAAUUAAUACAGUAUUUAUUACCAAUCGAUAUAUUUUUUAAAAUACUAAUAAUUUGUUUAAAAACAAAACUAAUAAAUUAUGACAAAAAAUGAAUUUUAACGGAAAUUAAACAAGGAAGAACAUCGGGCUUUUACUUAGUAAUAAUUCAUGAGUCGCCCAUUUUCACAUCAGUCACAUCUAGUUGUAUUAUCUCCGCUCUGCACCCUAAAAUUGAUCCCAUGCUGCAACCGAAACGAAAUAAACUCUCUUUUAUUAAUAUGCUAUUUCACAGAUCCGGUAUAUAUAUAUAUAUGCUUAAACUUGUUUCCAUUCUUCUAAACACUAACUGCAAUUUUUUGCCUAUAGUUAAAAUCUAAAAUAUUGAAGGGAGCUCCUUUUAUUAUACCUGGGAGUGGUACGACCAAGAUCUCCAUGAACAAAUUCUUUGAUGUAUGUUCCAGCCUGCAUUAUUGAAAAGUUAAAACUUGCCCAUCUUUCAAUAUUAUGAUAAAUGAUAAUGAGGUGAGUUAUAGAAGAUGUAGCAACCUGGGUGCACAGAUGCAAUAGAAAGUAGUGAGCGUGUCCUUUUAUCUUUUCAAUUUUCAUCCUGAGUAUUGGAACCACAAACACUGACUAUUAUUACUAAACAGAAGAAGCUUCAAGGUAAGUAAAAUCUGAAACUCACGAUAGAUUUUCACUAACCAAUGUAUAAUCUUUUCACGAUCCAAUGGACUUCGUCGGUGAAGCACUCUUACUGGUGUCUUCUGCAAGAUUUUCUGCAGUGAAAUUAUAUAGGAGAAGAAAGUCGCUUUCUAUUAGGAACAAAGAACAGGGUUUGAGGAUCGACAAUGGAUUUGUACCUAUGCUUAACAAUCAUUAAAGAAAUGACUCACCAAUUCUUUCAGGGAAGAAACUGAGUUGAAGUCUUUCUCUUCAAGUGGACGAGAAAUCCAUACAAGUGCAACAUACUGCUUCUGCAGUACGUAAAAAAAACAUUGGAGUGGUUAGUUUGAUAAGUUUUCACUACAUUUCUAACUGAAGUAUUGGUUUAGUAAAGGUUUCAGUAUUUCAAUAUGAUUUAACAAUGCUGACCUGCUUCUCUGCUUCUCCUUCACGCAUCAUUGCCCAACACUGACUUCCGAUACAUUUAAGGUCUUUUACUCCGACCUGUAGCCAAAAUACUACUUGUAAGCUUGCAAAAAAGGCACACAUAAUCAAUUGAUAUAACAUAUGUGUUCAAUUAAUUAGGUCUUACUAGUUUUUUCUCUGAGUUGUUUAUCUUUUCUUCAACUUCCUUCAAUGAUUGUUCAGACGGGCACUGGCGAGAAUUCUGAACCUCGAUCAAGAAAGGUCUACCUGAACCCAACAUUCGUACCUGAAUAGAGGUCUUUUAUAUUAUCAGCAUAAACUUGUUGAAUAUGAAUAUGACGUCCGAAAUAGGUAAUUUUCUCACAUCAAUAUCUUCUCUGCCAGCUGCGUGGAACUUGUACGAAUCCCCAAGGCAUGCUGGAAGAAUGUUUCCGCCAAGUAUCUCCUGAAAAGUAUAUAAAUAUCUAUUGAAGUCACUGUAUCUUUAGGAAUAAAUAAUUUAAACAAGUCCAGAUGACCACUAAGAGACUAUUACCUCAACAGACGCUUCGCCCAUUCUUUCAUCAUCAAUAAUCCAUCGUGAUUGACUAACAUUUCUGGAGUACUGCAAAAAUAAGAUCGAACCAUCAAUUGAGAUAGAUACUCAAUAAGAGGUUAAAAAUCUGCUCGAUCAUCUGUGAAUCCAAUUGUUACCAAACUACAAUUUACACACAAAUGAGGUUACAAUACACUGCCUCAAGAACAUGUAAAACAGUGACUUACUUUAAAGUAUCUCCCACUAAAAAAGAUAGGCAUCCUGUUGCAAUGAACUGAAAAGAUGCAUGGUUCAUACACCUGGUUAUAUAAGAAAAAUGACGAGAACAUGAGCUUUUGUUAGUCAAAUAAUGACAAUCAGGACAAAAGAAAGUUCAACUCUAAUAUAAAUCUAUGGGUUAAACAUGCAAACAAAUACCUUUUCAAAUGAAUUCUCGGAAAUACAGUUUGAUCCAUUCUCUGCGUCUGCAUAUACAUAAAAUAUAAUUAAUAAAUAGCAUUUGAAAACUCUGAAAUUUGAUCCGCGGGAUCUAAUGUAUUAUCUCAAUAAAAUGUGUAAGAAAUUGAUGUAGAUGGGCACAAGAUCCGGAAAGUGUAUAAACUGUCAUUAGGAGGGCAUAGACCAUGCAUGGCUAGACAAGGACCAAAACUAAGAAUAUAUUCACUUUAAAAGAAGUAUGACAUCUAUGCAAGACGUUGAAGUAGCGUAGAUAAAGAGGUCGGCUUAAUUGGAUGUUUACUCCUUAAGCUUUCAAAGAAAACUCAAAGAGCCUUCAGAUGUAACCAUGGAAGAAUAACGUACAUGAAGGUCAAAUUUUCUUUCAUCAACAAACUCCUUAAACAUCACAAGUAUCGGUGAUAUUUCAAGCAAUUAUAGAUGCACCAUGUCAUAAAUGAUUUAUGAAUCAGGAGUUCAGGAAAAAGAUUCAACCGAGUCCUAAGUGAUUGUAGAGUCUCGACAUACCUGUUUUCCUCCUCUUACUUUCAUGCGUUGUUUCAGAAGCACCCUGAGCCUCGUCUGAUGCUUUAGUGUAUGUCAAACGGAUGUGAAAAGAGCUUGAAUCUGAUUCAGCGCCCUGCCAAAACAGAGAAGAAACGCAAAGACUUUUGUUAUCUGGAAACAGAUUUUGCAGGUUAUAACAUCCAUUUGUAUAAGAUACUAAGCAAUAGAAGCAAAGGUGAAAACCUAAGCAACAACUCAACAAUUUUCCAAAACAGAAACACUUUCAAGCAAAUCACCGACUCACCAACGAUGCUUUAAGUUGAUCCAAGAGUAGAACUUUCAAAGCAUCCUUUACAGAAAAUUUGUCGCGUUGCAGCCAAACUUCGGUGCUAUACUUUCCUUUAAGGUAUGACCUAUAAAUAUAAAGGUAGAUACAUCAACACUAGAGCAGAACCAAAACAAAACUGAUAAAAAGGAAAAACUCUUUAGCUGAUGCAAGCGAAGAAGCUUACAAGAGUGCACGUUCAUUCUCCAUGAUAGUUGAUGGCACAGAGACUUCAAGACCAAAGCUAUCGAACUCAUGACGAUCCUGCUUCACCAAGUCCGUUAUCCUUGAAACGUAAUCACUACUAGAAUCCGAUUUCACCAGCUCUUUUUUGGCAUCGGAAAAAACGAACUGCAAUAUACCUAAACAAACAAUGCAGAUUCUGGAACAGCUAGAUUCCGAUGAACCAGUUUCACCAUCACCGGAUUUGAGCCAACUGUGAAGAGUUGAAGUCGAGACUGAAGAAAUAUCGGAAUCAAAAGCCUCGACGGCUACCAAUCGGAAAAUACAUCUCUCGCAGACCUAACAGAGCACACAGACACACCGACUUACUAAAAAUCGGGGAAAACAAAUUCAAAAAGAGAUUGAAACGGAAUCGGAGAAGUUGUGAGAAAUAGAAACCCUAAAAACUAGUGAGAGCAAGAGAAAAGAAUACGGACCCCGAGAGAUAGAAGAUCUUUCACAGCACCGGAAUGCAGAGAUCGAGCUGUUUCGUAUACGCGCCGUGUCUUAGAGUCACCAUGGCUUACGAGGCCGUUGGGCAAACCAGCUGAGUCGCCGGAGGCGGGUCCUGUGUCGGCGGACAUUUGCUUCGGAAAUUUGGAGAAGGCGGCGUCUAACAAUUAGCAGUGAGCUUAUUCAGUUUUUUUUACAAAACCAAUUUGAACUGUGUUUAUUUUAUAUUAUAUUCAUUUAUAUAAAAUUUGGACCUUAACUUAUGGAAAAUUUUGCCGAAUGUACCAUAAUUUUAGAAAAUUCUAGCAAAUCUACCGCAAAUCGAUUUAGCAUCCAUACCAUUUGUGGUGUUUGUGUGGUAGAGGUUCGAUGAUUUUACCUUUCUGCCUGCUUCAGGAAUGUGUCAGGGGAAAGAGCUACAGUAAAAAGUUGAUAUGGGUUAGUUUUAUUAUUUGGAGACUAUGAUUAGUUUUAUUUAAAAUAGUAAAAAGUUAGGAGACAAUCAUUAUUUAAUUAAAUGGUGACAAUGAUUAUUAGACACUAAAAUAUAAUGUAAAGUAUUAAUUAGUAGGUCAAGGCAAGUAAUUAAUUAAUAAAAAUGUUUAAGGAGAUGAUAUGAGUUAAACUCGGAGACAACUGGAUCUCUUGAUUUUCCAUCUCCAGAUGAUGUGAUUUUACCAGCUAGAGAUCUGGAUUUAUUCGGAAACAACAUUUCUUAAUUGUCCAUCGCCAGAUGAUGUGGUUUUACCAGGCAGAGAUCUGGAUUAACUCGAGGACAACUUGAUCUUUAUUUUAUUCUGCCAAAUAGCCGAAGACGAAGAUCUGGAUUUACUCGGGGACAACUUUGUUUUACCAGCCAGAGGGACGAAAACGAUUACCAAUGCGCCAGGAGAGAGAAGAAGGACGGCAGAAAUUUCGGAGGGUCACUUCAACAUCAGUUCCUUAUCUCACCAGUUGGAUGGUAAAAUGGUCAUUUUACAAACACAAUAUGGUAUGAAUGAUAAUUGGACUUCCAAUGUGGUAGAAAUGAUAACUUUUGGACAAAAUGUGAUACCAAUGCUAAUUUUCCCUAACUUAUUUAUUUUAGAGUAUUCAUUUUUAUAUAAAUAAAUUUAUUGUUUCUCGUACAAAUCAGUUCAAACAUUGUAGUGCACUAAUUUUUUUUUGAAUAAAGACAAGAAAUAUACAGAAUUUUAAGAAAUAAUGAUUUCCAAAAAUGUGGAAGCAAUGACCAAUUGACUACGAUUGAUAGUCAAUAUAAAAUGUAUUUAGAAAGAAACAAAAAAUAACGAACGUAGCUACUUUUAGUAAGACAAAUCAACAUUAGUCAUCGGAGAGUCAUAGAUCCUAGGAUCCCUAGUGCAUUGCGGAAGAUUCGACGGUGGAGAUGGCAAGCUCGUUUCUGGAGUUGGCCCAUUUUGAACUAUGAAAGCCAUCAUAAUUCCGUAUGGUAAAUGAGCAUCCAUGUGACAAUGGAACAGCCAUAUACCUGCAAACAUACAAGUUCAUAUUCAUAUUAAUCCAUUUAUUAAUAAUUAACUGGUGUAGUAGAUACUAAAAAUAUAUAUAAAUGUAACUAACCAGGAUUAUUAGCGAUAAAUCUGAGGACAACCCAUCCACCUGGUGGUACACCAACGGUAUUACGCAUUUGUGGGUUAAAUAGAUUUAGCUUUCUUGCAUCACGGACAGGAUCGUAGUUACCAAAUCCAUAACCCAACACAUAGAAGUUGAAGCCAUGAAGGUGCAUGGGGUGGCUCUCCCUGGUGAGUAUCGCGGUGUUUUGCAAAACGAUCUCGACUGUAGAAUUACACCUAAUUGUCUUGACGCUAGUCUUUCUUUCCGGAAACAUCAUCUUGAAGUCAGAAUUGGUACGCUGUUCGAAUCUUGUGUAAUCAAAUUUAACCGGUGGUUGGUUGGGAAAAUCGUCGGUGUAGACUCCAGUAAUGUUGUAAAAAUAAGCCUCUUGCAUAGAGAUUCUCUCCGGGAUCAUAAAAGUGCGGUUGUUGAGAGAACCAGCAUAUCUUUGACCUAACGGUCCAAUACACUUGGUGUUCGAAGGACAUGGGUCUAAGCCAAGCCCCAUCGUUAUGAACAUCUUCUCGUCUAUAUGGCGAGGCACUGGUGUCCAGUGUGGUCCACCCACGAGGCUAGUGAUGUUUGAUGAGAACCUAUGAGCGGUGGGUAUGUCAUUCGGCGCAGGCAUCAACGGCUUCACGGGCGAUGAUGACGUGGCACCCUCGUAGACGAUUAAGCCUCUGGUGGGGUUGGUAUCAGGGGUCGGUAUCCCAAUGGCACUAAUGUAAGGGAUGGUGGCCAUGUAGUACUUUCCAAUGGGCUGGUCGGCGGUGAGAAGUGCGUCAACGGUUUGUCCCGGGGUUAAGAUCAUCACAUCGGUUAGGUACGGUGUCGUGUAGACAGCAUCUACAGCGACAACUGUGACGUUGUGAUUGGCUAUUUUGAAGAAGAGGUGAGUGUUGAGUGCUGCGUUUAUAAUCCUUAGCAAGUAUGUUUUUCCUUGUACUACCUUGAGGUUAAACAUUCCUAGGGAAGCCAAAAACCAAAAAAGUCAAUUAUGUUUUUUUGUUAACAAUUGUUGUGUUAAUAAGUAAUAAGGAGGUCGAUAAUUUACAAAAGAAGAUCAAAGUAACUUUUUAUUCAAGUCAAGAAUGAGUAUUACUAUUCUUAGAGCAAGGAUAUGAAUCUCCAGCGAGGCCAUUCAUGAGGUAAGCAUCAGAAACCGGAGCUGGCCGUAUUUCGAGAAGUCUAACAUCUGUGUCCCACCAUUGUUCUGGCAUAUUCAUGUUUUAUCAAACAAAUUAUAUUAACAAUUUGAAUAUUAUAUAUCAGGUCUUUUAUAUAUUUGGUGGAUGUUUAUUUUAAUCCGAACCAACUCGUCCGGAUGUGGCCUAGAUCGAAAAAGUCGUAACAACUUGUAAAUAAUAGCUAUUUGGAAAAACAUUAUUUUUUUGAACAAAUCUAUCUUUUAAUUUAAUAUUAUACUGAAUAAAUAUAAUUGAGAAUUGCCAUUGUCCCAAAUGGCCAAAAUUGAUUUCGACAAUAAAAAAGGGAAUCGAAAUGCUUACGAAAAAUGAGAGGAACUUCCUCGUAGGGUUUAGGAAAAGGAUAAGGACGGCCGGAUCGGGGACGGAUGAGUAGAGCCCCGUGAAGAGUGGCUCGUAGAUUAACGACGUGUGCAUGCCACAACAAUGUACCUUCUUGACCGGUAAUAUCGAAUUGAUAUGUGAAGUUGUAACUAGGUUGAAUCGGACAUUGAGUUAUCAUAUUUGCACCGUCCAUCCAUACGCUCUUCAGCUGAAAAACUCCAUGCCUAUACAUAUAUGUGUAAAAUCAAGAAAUAACUUUUACUAACACCUAAAUUGAUAUCAAAGCCCGUAAUAAAAGAAGAAAUAAUAAUAACAAUAUUGAGAUCAAUAAGUAGUUACUUAAUUACCAGUGGAUGGUUACAUUAUAAGUUGAGUUGUUGAUGACAUGAACCACAAGAGUGUCGCCUUCUCUAACGUUGAUCGUUGGACCGGGAAGAUUUCCAUUAACUGCCGGUAUCAUUUGUUCCUUGCAUAACGGUUUCACCAUGACGUCUUUGACCUGUUGUUGUCAGACGCCGUUAAUAUAUUAACUUCUUCUUUUUUUGGCAAUUAUUAACAUUUUCUUAUGGCAAAGUUAAAAGUUAAAAGCAAUACUAGUUUAUAUGCGUUGUCUUAUAUUUUGUAUAUAUUUUUUUCUCCCAAUAGGUCUAUAAUCUAAACAUCUUAAGUCAGUUUAAUACACAUAUAAGUUAUAAAGUAAAAUGCAAACAAAAAAACAACAUUUCACGCUUUAUAUAUUCGUAAUAUACCACUAUGUAUUUAUAUAAUCUUAUUUUGCUAAGAGUAUUUAUAAAAUCUUGAGAUAAAAUAUACUAAAACUCGGGGGUAUAUUAGAUCGAUCCACCAAAUACGGUAAUAAAUUUUGAAAUGAAGGAAAACAAAAGCACGUACGUGCACACCACCAACUUUUCCAAUUUUAAGAAAUAGUAUAUAGUGUAAAAUGAAAAUUUGUAAUAUAUAGUUUCCAACAGUAAUAAAAUUAGUCGGUAAUUUUUUGAAUUAUAUUUUAUAGAGGAGAGAAAAACAAAGAAGGAGAAUUUGGUAUAAGAGUAAAUACUUGGAAAACAUGUUCGACAGUAGCUGCUGAGGCAAUGGAAGAGAAGAGAAAAAAGACGAGGAAGACUUGAUUUCGGAGAUAAUGAUGAAGUCGAGGCAUUGUUGAUGUAAAGAUAUGGAAUAUGAUAUUUUUGCCCUACUUGUGACUUUGUGAGAGACUCAUGAUCAUACGCGUAUUUAUAGAAGGAAGUAAAGAACUUAAAGGAGAGAGAUAUGGCAAAUGUUUUGAUAAAAUUUGCCCACUAUUAUAUUAGAAAUGGCCAUCUCAAACACUUUGACAGGACAAACAAAAAAUAAAAUAAAAAUUGCAAACUAUCAUGUCUCUUGGAUUAGUUUUCAUGCACUUGCAUGUAAAAUAUCUGUGCUUUCUGAAACAUUCCUUCUCUGGUCUCUUAUUUUAUAUUUGUUGCUUGGCGAAGUCGUAAAGUCGAAGUUUCGAAUACGAUUUCGUCCCUUGUUGAUUGUGGCCUAAAAAUCUAUUAUAAUUGAUGUUUCCAAAGUCAUUAUAUAUAUAUUAUGUCACAUCUUAAAACUUAAAUAUUAACCUCCAUUUUAUUUAUGAUAUUAGUAUUAUAUACUACUUUAGGUGACAUUUGAAUGACUUUAUUUUUGUAUUUUUUUAAAGGUUUUUUUUUCCCUUUUUAAAAAAAAAUAGUUCAUUUUUUCGUAUUUUGAUGAAGAAUUUUCAAAAAAUUUGGCAAAAAAAAAUUUCGCCAAAGAAUUCUUCACUAUUUUGCAGUUCAUGAGUGGAGCUCCUACAAUGUCAUCAACAGUAUUGGCAAGAAGGUGUCUUUGUUACCUAAUGACUGAAAUGUUCAGUGAGGCUCUAAGCGAUGCGAUGCAAGCGCAAGUAGCUUCACUGGAAUGGCCAAUAAUCCCUCUCUUAUUUACAUGUGGUUUGUCUCUUGAAGCUCGAGAUGGAAGCUGAAGCUAAAGAAGCACUUAGAAAUGGUUCUGCUUUUGAGGCUAACUAGACUGACUUUAUGAAAAUACUUAUUUUGAGAAACUGUGAAUACAUACAAAAACGUAUACAAGUCAAUGUGUACCUAUUCAAAAAAAGUAUGGACCUACACAGAAAUAAGUUAUAUUAAUUGUGGUGCAGAUAUAACAAUCAAUGAGGGCGUUUGGUCUAGUGGUAUGAUUCUCGUUUUGGGUGCGAGAGGUCCCGAGUUCGAUUCUCGGAACGCCCCUAUUACUUUUUUUGUUAUUUUCAUGACGAAAGGAUUAGAACCGGUUAUCAAAGCUGCGGCGUAUCUCCUUCCUUUUACCGCCAUUUUAGUGUUCGAGGAGGAAAAGAAUUAGACUGUUUGUCUAAUUCGAUUCUAUGGAUGAAGAGAGUGGCAUAGAGAAAACGAGAAAUAUAAAUAUGGGUGGAAUAGAGAAAAUGUAUUUGUGGAAAUGAAGGUAGGAAGAAAAGAAAAGUAAUACGUUGAACUCUGACUUGUCUUCUGCAUCAGCUAGUCAGCCCAGCUAAGGUCCUGACCUAACAACAUGGUUAAUACUUAAAACCAAUAAGAUUUUAAUGUUUUUUCUUUGUUAAACAAGCAAGAUUAAUGUGCUACUUUAGAAGCAGCUAUAAAUUAAUCAAAAUGAUUUUUUUUGCUCUCUACUACUCUAGUUGAUUACCAUAAAAUGAUGUGUAAUCAAAGAUACAAUAUUGUAAAAUUAUGGUAAUUAAGCAUUUUAUUGAAUAUUUAGAUUAACACACAGUCGGAUUGCAUAUCUUACUCACCAACACCAAUGUUUAUACUACAUUGAAUUGUUUGGUUCAAGAGCUGAAUUGACACCAUCUAUUGCUGUUGAUUUUAACCACUAUAACCCAAAAUUCUGUGCAAAGUUUUAAAACGCAGUCAAAGUGUUCGAUGAAAUGCCUCAGAAGAAACUUACAAUUGCUUGAUCGAAACUAAAUCAAACGAUUCAGCCACAACAAAGUAAAUACGAAACAGAUUCUCAAAUAAGUCAAACGAUACACCGUUGUCUGAAUCACAUCAACCUUUAAAACCCUACUCAUUCAUUAGCUAAAACCUUCCAAUCUAAAGACAGAGCCAUUACAGGCAGAGACAUGUGUUUCAGAACUACAAUAACCAUCAUACGAGUAAGAAAAUGGUAACCUCGUUGACAUAAAAUCAAUCAAAUCUCCGUUCACUUUUUAUCGUCGCCGAAAAGUAGACGGAGACGAGAAGCAAAGACGCCGGUAGAGUCAAUCGAAGCUUGAUGAAGAAGAUCGCUCUUGAUUUUACUCAUACGAUCCGUCAAACUAUCUUGCUCCUUCUUGAGAACAGCAGUGUCUUCCUCCAGAUCGUGAAUUCGGUACUUCUGACUUACCGAUCGGAAACUCAGAAGCAAAAUCCCAGUCAUGGCGAAGAACUGGAAGAAGCUUUGCUUGUUCUUCUUCACAUUCUCGAAGAAUCCAGACGCUACAGCUGUUAAAGCCUUCGCCGGAUCUUUCCCGGUGAGAGGAUCAGCAGAUCCCUGUGGCGCAGACGAAGCCAUUUUCGAUGUCUAAAUGAACCCAAAGGGGAAUGAGUUUAAUCAAUCGUCUCUAAGAGAGAAAAAGAAAGGGCUCUCGAAAAUGCCCAAUACAUUUUUUUUGCUUUCGAUUCAGAAAAGGCCUAUCGUUGAUUUUCAUAGCCUCUAAUACAGUUGGAAGGUUAAAAGCGCAAACCAAAAGGCAAAAAUAUGAAUGAGAUGAAUAAAAUUCAUGGUAGAAAAAAUUGUUAUAGCAUAAAUAGUAAUCAUAUAAUCAAGUAUGUAGAAUGAACAUAAUAAUAUUAAUGGUUUAUUUGUCUUGUUUAUUUUUAUUAUAUAACUAAAACUUAUUUUUCUCUCUGUUAUCAAAAGACUUAUUUUUCUCUUUGUUCAUUAUCAGUGUUUAAUGUUUGAUGAUGAUGGGUUCAUCUAGUUUAAAAAUGUUUGGAUAUAUAUGUCAAAAAUCCAACCAAGCCAGAUGGCAAAAAACUGAAAUGAAAUAUUCGUAUUAUUGUGAUAAACAUUAUCUGCUGGUUUUAGUAUUUGUUCACUUUCUUUUUCCCUUUUUUUUUUUUUUUUGUCAAUCAAACACCAUAUAUUAAUUCACGGACGAGAACUCUCUUCUAGAGAGAGCCAAUUGGAUACCGUCGAACUUACAUGGGAAAAGCAGAACUCGCAACCUCUUGCACCGUCAUCAUUUGAAACUUUUGUCAAUUGAGCCAAUUGGAUACCGUCGAACUUUCUUUUCCUCUUAUGCAUGUCAUCAUUUGAAACGUUUGUCAAUUCGAGGUGAUCAUGUGAAUAACGUAAUCACCAAACGUAACAUUGUAACAGUAUGCGAUGAGUUUUAUGGAAUACCAAAUGAAAUUAUAUAAACUAGAAAAUAUGCAAAUUUUAUAUAUAAAAAGAUAAAAUGAAAUUACAGAUCAAAUGCAAUCAACGAAAGCCACAAGAACAACUUAAAAGAGAAAUAUAAUAAUGAUCACAAAAACACAGCAAAUGUCCCACUCCCACAUCAUUAUUCAUUCUUUAACCAUUUUUCUUAAUCAUCAGUCUCUUUUACUUUCUUCUCUUCCUCUUCACUGGUCUUGGCAUGAUAACCUGGAAGCUUCUCUUUAAUCUUUUCCAGAAUGCCCUUCUUCUCCUCCGGAUGUUCCACCGGAUGCUCCGUCGUAGGCUCCACUGGAUGCUCCGUUACAACCAACGGUGUGCUGGUAACAGCUGGUGAAUCCUCUGGAGUCUUGUCGUGGUGGCCAGGAAGCUUCUCCUUGAUCUUCUCCCCUAGUCCUUUCUUCUCUUCCUCGGUUUGGUCAUGCUCCACCACACUCUCCGACACUGGUACCGGGAUGGUAGUGGAAACUGGUACAUCAUCCUCUGGUUUCUUGUCGUGGUGGCCUGGAAGCUUCUCCUUGAUCUUCUCCGCUAGUCCUUGCUUCUCUUCCUCUCCUUCAACGAUCUUCUUCUUCUCCUUCUUCUCCUCCCCUUCUUCAUCGCUCGACUGUUAGAUAUUCAAAUUUCAAGAACCAUGAGUAUGAUUAUUGGUACAAUCAAGAUCUACAAAACUAAUCUAAAUCUUGUAUAUAAGUAUCUCUUAUCAACCAUUUCGAUCAAAUCAAAUUUCAUAAAUUUUUACUUACAGAGGAAGCAGAGCUGUUGGAUCGGUGAAGCUUUUCGAUGACACUAGGCUUGUUCUCCUCAUCUUCCUCGGUCUUCUCUUGAAGCUCUUCAAGGAGAGUAAUCUUGUUCUCCUUCACUUCCUCGUGCUCCGCAGCUAACUCCGGUUCCGAGAUCUGAGCCUUAUGAUCAAACUCAGACUCGAGCGUCGUUGUCUCUUGAGGUUUCACUUCCUCUUCCUUCUUCCCCAAGAAAUCAAACAAUCCACGAUCCGUAACCUCUGUAGUCGUCGCUGGUGAUUCCUCUGUUGCGACCUUUGGUGUCUCGUGCUCGGGAACGUUGUUCUUGUACUCCUCAGCCAUAGUUAAUCUUGAUUCGAUUGAAAGGUUAACAGUAAACAGAAUAAUAUGUGAGAUUUGUGUAGUUGCUUUUAGAUUGUUUUGUGAAUGAGUAAUGUUUAUGAUGAGAGAAGAGAGAGCGGGGGUUUUUAUAGUGUCAAGAGACUCAAGACUCAAGAGAAGGGUCCAGGCCAACGCGGAGGUAACGCUGUAAAGAUUUUUUUUUUUUUUUUUUUUUUGUCAAAACGCUGUAAAGAUUUAGUUAAUUUAUUUAGUAAUCCAAAAGAUGGAUAUUUAUUUCUGGAAUUGCAUAAUGACCCCUUUUUCUUUAAGUCGGUAGAUGAAUAUCAUGAUAUCACCACCUUAUUUUUUCUUAAUUUAAGGAUUUAUGUUUUAAUAUGUAGAUGAAGAGUUAAACUAAUAUUAGAUAAUCGCAUAGUCAUGUACUUUUAUCUACAGGAGCUGUAUCAAACUAUAGUCUAUGGUUACGUGGUUGAAGUCCAUCCUUUUAUUCUAUUAUUUUAUUGCAUUUUAUCAAAUUAAAUAGAUAACAGAUGUAUAAGUAAAGAGUUUCAAUGGACUAGGAGUAUAAUGUAGUGGUUUGGAAUUUGAAUUUGAUGUUAUGUCACCAUCAUAUUAUUUCAAGCUUUUUGUAAGAAGAAAAAACAAAACACUAAAUAAUUUGUCUGGAAAUAGAACUUAACAAUUUUUAACAUUUUUUCUUGUUUUUUAUUUUAAAUUGUUUUGACCUUUUACUUUACUAAAAAAAAAUAUGAAAGAAAGUUCAAACUUCAAAAGGGGUGUUUCCAACUCUUUUAAGACUUUCAGGUUAUGUCUCUAAAAUUUAUAAAUAAAGGGGUAAAGUAAAAUAAAUAGGAAGUAAUUAUAACCGAAAUAUGAACAGCAUUAACCAGCCAAAAGAUCAGUAUAAAUGGAAAAAGAUCAGUAUAAAUGGAAAGACUAAUGUAAACAUUAGAAUAAUUUAGAAGUUAGAACGAAUUAGAAGAAAAACAGAAUAAUGUAGAAGGCAUAGAUGGAGCCAAUAUACUACUAACACGUGUCAAAAGAGGUGUAAGGGCCCCACACAUGGAACUGAAUGGUCGGCUUUGAUAGGCUUUAAGCAUAGUUGUCGGUCAUGUGGGCCAUUAGACACGUCGGCUAUAGCUAGAUUGCAGAUAUUUUGCGGGUAAAUUACAAACAUGGCAUUAUUACUCCUCUAAUAAAUUGCCUUUUUAAGAACUAAGACGUUAAUUUGUUCAAAAAAAAAAAAAAAAAAAAAGAACUAAGACGUUAACAAAAAAAAAUUAUGCAUCAAAGUAGAUUUUAAUUUUGAAAUAAAUUUGUCAGAAGAUAAACAACGGUAUUGAAAUAAUUAUAUUAUAAGUAUGAAAUUUUAGGUAUGUGAUGUCGUUUUUUGGCUUGUAUGAUAACGGACGAAAGCUUUAUCGUUAUAUUUAAAUAAGAUUUAACAGAUGGGGCAUUUGAGAACGCACAAUUUCGGAUUUUGCUUAAAGUUAUUAAAUUAUAUGAAUCGUGUUCGGUUGAAAGAUUUAAGACGUUGUGCCACUUGAUAAAUUGAGACGUUUCAUGAACACGCGACCCGUAAUUAACAGACCGAAUUUUAAAAAACUUAGGCAUUGGGGUGGUCACUCUACCGACACAUAAUACCAAACAAAGCAAUCGUUUUCGUUUGCUAUAUUGAUUUUAAUUAAUUUAUCGCGUUAAACUUUUACAAACUACAAUAUAAACAAAUUUGUGUAACCACAUGUAAAUUUACCUGACCUAAAAAAAAAACGAAAAAAAAUCUAACCGCAUUUCUCAAAGAAUCAUAUAGAAAAUGAAUUGAUCUUAUAGAGAUGUACUAUUUGAUUAGAAACAAAUGUUGAACCGAAUCUAAACCAUUAUCAAACCGGCUUUUAUAUAUUUUAAACUGGAAAUCUUAAAAAUUGAACCAUAGCCAUAUCAAAUACCUCGGCACUAAAAUAUGAUAUGCUGUGCCGAAAAUUUAGCAAUUAGGCUAUCAAAACGGAUCAAGGUCUACGACUUUCAAUUAACAAUCAAGCACAUGAUGCGGGUACGGCCCGAUUAUAAAGUCUAUGCACGGGUUCUAUAUAUACGUCAUGUAUACAAAAAAUAAGAUGGUGAGACAAUGAUGAUAUGUGUCUAGGCUACAUAUGUCUUGGUCAAAUAUAAGUCUAUUAUAAACUGAAAUUUUAAAAACUCUUUCUUUUACGAAUUGACAAGUCUAUUGCCUAGUUCACUCACUACUAAUAUUAAGAAGUAAUUAGUAUAUUCAUUUUUUUUUCGUCGUCUAAAUUUAUUACUAAUUGCAAAAUUAUGAGAACUAUUACAUAGACGAUUUUACAACUGAUAAUUCUUUCCGAUUUUUACUAGAUUCACGACAGACUACACUUCCUUCUUCGUGAUCUUGAUGAAUACCAACAUGAUCCACAACCUGGCGACACUUCCUUCUCUGCGUAGAAUCCUGGCGAACGGCUAUAAUUGUACAUCGUUGGAGAUCUCUUGCACAUUUGCCUCCAUUAAUAUGCAAAUUUGUUAAUAAAUCGCAAUAUCUGGGACUCGAACCCCAGACCUCUUGGUGUAGAAGCAUUAAUCAAUCCUUGGUCAACCAAUGGGCCAAGGGGCUUCCACAAUUAGUAUAUUCAUUUAUGUACAAAAAUACUAAUAAUUAAAUCCAUAAAUGUGAUCUUGAACUGGUCUAUUAUUAUGAAUGUAGCUAUAAUUUCCAUAUAUAUCAAAUGUUAAAUACUUUUUUUUUGGAAAAACUAAAAUUUUAAAUACUAACUAUAUUAAAUUUAGCAUGUCAUUUGGUUCAACGAAAUCCAUAAAGAAAAGUUGGUACAUCUUACAGUUCUCAUGAACAACAAUAGUUCCAGGUGAAAUUAUUGAGUCACCAUAUAUUUAUUUAACGCUAGCAUGCUUUCAUCUGAAAUUCUGAUUUUCUUUACAUAAACACUAUUCAUGAGAAAUCAUCCAUUUAAGCUCCAUUGAGUAUACGAUUGUUUCCAAUAGAUAAAUAGUUUUAUAUAAUAAACACAAAUGAUCUAUCACUAAACACAAACUUGGAUAACACAGCUUGAAAUACAAAAGAAAAGAGAUAAUGAUCAACAUUAAAAAAAAAAAACACAACAAAUGUUCCACUCCCACAUCAUUAUUAUUCAUUCUUUCAUCUUUUUCUCUUAAAGAGACUCUUUAUCUUUCUUCUCUUCCUCUCCACUAGUCUUGGCAUGAUAACCUGGAAGCUUCUCUUUGAUCUUAUCCAUAAACCCCUUCUUCUCCUCCGGAUGCUCCGCGAUCGGUGUUGCUGUUUCAACCAGCGGUGCGGUGUUGACGACCUGUGACUCCUCUGGUUUCUUGCUGUGGCCUGGAAGCUUCUCUUUGAUCUUAUCCAUUAAUCCUUUCUUCUCUUCUUCCUCUGGUUUUUUAUCGUCUACCAAAUGUGGUGCUGGCAUGGUGGUGACGACUGGUACAUCAUGACCCUCUGGUUUCUCGCCGUAUGGAAACUUCUCCUUGAUCUUGUCCAUUACUCCUUGGUUCUCCUCUUCCUCUGUUUUCACAUCACCUUCAACGAUCUUUUUCUUCUCCUUCUUCUUCUUUCUCUUCUCACCGUCUUCACCUUCUUCAUCACUUGACUGUUGAAUAUUCAGAAUUUCAAAACCAUGAGUUUGUUUCAAGAUUUAACCAAAAAAACUAUAAACGAAUCAAACUUUUACUUACAGAGGAAGAAGAGCUGUUGGAACGGUGGAGUUUGUCGAGGAGACCAUGCUUGUUUUCUUCUUCCUCCUCGUGUUUCUGGUGAAGCUUCUCAAGGAGAGUAGGCUUAUGUUCCUUCAGUUCCUCGUCUUCGUGCUUGGCCACAGACGGCUCUGGUUCAGAGAUCUGAGUCUUGUGCUCGAACUCAGAUGCGAGAGUUGUCGUUUCUUGAGGUUUCACUUCCUCUUUUUUCUUCAAGAAAUCGAACAGUCCCCGUUCCUUAACCUCCGGCGUCGUGGUUGAUGAUUCCUCUGGAACGUUGUUCUUGUACUCUUCUGCCAUAGUUAAUCUUGAAUCG
rnacentral:lncRNA from 1 species